rnacentral:misc_RNA from 1 species
GUGAGUCAUCGAAUCUUUGAACGCACAUUGCGCCCCUUGGUAUUCCGAGGGGCAUGCCUGUUCGAGCGUCAUUAUGACCACUCAAGCCUAGCUUGGUAUUGGGGUUCGCGGUCUCGCGGCCUCUAAAAUCAGUGGCGGUGCCGUCUGGCUCUAAGCGUAGUAAUUUUCUCGCUAUGGGGUCCGGACAGUUACUUGCCUAAACCCCAACUUCUCACGGUUGACCUCGGAUCAGGUAGGGAUACCCGCUGAACUUAAGCAUAUCAAUAAGCGGAGGA